GUACUUGCAUCGCCAGUAUAUAUAUUAAAAUUAGAAUGAUAUACAGAAGAUUAGCAUGGGCUUUGUGCAAAGAUAUUAACAAAUGAAUGGCUAUUUCAAUAUUUUU
rnacentral:snRNA from 1 species